UACGUAGGGGGCUAGCGUUGUCCGGAUUUAUUGGGCGUAAAGAGCGUGUAGGCGGCCAGGUAGGUCUGCUGUGAAAACUCGAGGCUCAACCUCGAGACGUCGGCGGAAACCAUCUGGCUAGAGUCCGGAAGAGGAGAGUGGAAUUCCUGGUGUAGCGGUGAAAUGCGCAGAUAUCAGGAAGAACACCCGUGGCGAAGGCAGGUCUCUGGGCCACUACUGACGCUGAGAAGCGAAAGCAUGGAGAGCGAACAGG
rnacentral:rRNA from 1 species